GUGACCCAUAGGUGACUUGAAGGUGCCCCAAGGUGACCACCAAGGUGACCCCAAGGGUGACUUGAAGGUGACCCUGAGGGUGACCCUGGGGUGACGAGAAGGUGCCCCCAAGGUGACCCUGAGGUGACCACAAAGGUGACCCCAAGGGUGACCCAUAGGUAACUUGAAGGUGCCCCCAAGGUGACCCUGAGG